rnacentral:tRNA from 1 species
GUUUCGGAUAGCUUAACUGGCAGAGCCUUUGGCGCGUAACCAAACGAUCCGGGUUUGAGUCCCGGUCUGGGCU